GGAUUAAUUCUCUAUGUGAGCCGAGAGGGCAUCCUUUGGUUUGAAACGCGAGGGUAUAGGGUGAGCACGCUUCUGAUUAGCUAGUUGGUGAGGUAACGGCUCACCAAGGCGACGAUCAGUAGGGGUUCUGAGAGGAAGGUCCCCCACAUUGGAACUGAGACACGGUCCAAACUCCUACGGGAGGCAGCAGUGAGGAAUAUUGGUCAAUGGACGGAAGUCUGAACCAGCCAAGUCGCGUGAAGGAUGAAGGUUCUAUGGAUUGUAAACUUCUUUUGUCUGAGGGUAAAAAAGGCCACGUGUGGCUUCUUGCAAGUAUCAGACGAAUAAGCAUCGGCUAACUCCGUG
rnacentral:rRNA from 1 species